AUUGAACGCUAGCGGCAUGCCUUACACAUGCAUGUCGAACGGCACCACGGGGCAACCAGGUGUCGCGUGGCGAACGGUGGAGUAAUGCAUCGGCAUGUACCUUUCAGUGGGGGAUCACGUAGCGAAAGUUACGCUAGUACCGCAUAUUCUGUGAGCUGGAAUGCAGGGGAUCGCAAGACCUUGUGCUGAUUGGGCGCCCUAUGUCAGAUUAGCUAGUUGGUGAGGUAAAGGCACACCAAGGCUACGAUCUGUAGCGGGUCUGAGAGGAUGAUCCGCCACACUGGAACUUAGGCACGGUCCAGACUCCUACGGGAGGCAGCAGUGGGGAAUUUUGGACAAUGGGGGCAACCCUGAUCCAGCCAUGCCGCGUGAGUGAAGAAGGCCUUCGGGUUGUAAAGCUCUUUCGGCCGGGAAGAAAUCGCACGGGCUAAUACCCUGUGUGGAUGACGGUACCGGAAUAAGAAGCACCGGCUAACUACGUGCCAGCCGCCGCCGUAAGAC
rnacentral:rRNA from 1 species